AUUCAGACACGAGAUCAUUCAUGUUGCUUUCAGCCUCGGUGAACUCCAUCUCAUCCAUGCCUUCCCCGGUGUACCAGUGCAAGAAAGCCUUCCUCCUGAACAUAGCUGUGAAUUGCUCACUCACACGCCUGAACAUCUCCUGGAUGGAGGUUGAGUUUCCGAUGAAGGUGGAUGCCAUUGCAAGCCCUAUUGGAGGAAUAUCACACACACUGGACUUGACAUUGUUUGGAAUCCACUC